CAGAAACCCAUUCCCUCUGUGCUAUUUGGACUAAUGAGGGAAACAAAGCCUGAGCAACAAUGGUCAGAAAGUGUCAGCGGAUUGCAUUCUGCCUAUCACAGGGCUUUUGCAGGUAUUGAUCAGUCACUGAUGUGUGUAAAUCUGUUUUCAGUGGAGGCAGGACUGUAAGAAUCCAGGGCACUCUUUCAGUGUAUAACUACUCAAAAAUGAUUGUAACUUAAAGUGACACUAUAGUCACCAAAACAACUUUUAGUUUUAUGAAGCAGUUUUGGUGUGUAGAUAGAAACAUAGAAUGUGGCUGCAGAUAAAAACCAUUUGGCCCAUCUAGUCUGCCCAAUUUUAUAAAUACUUUCAUUAUAUUAUAUAUAUCUAGGAUAGCUG